AUUGCCUCAGUAACGGCGAGUGAAGCGGCAACAGCUCAAAUUUGAAAUCUGGCCCUAGGCCCGAGUUGUAAUUUGCAGAGGAUGCUUUUGGCGCGGUGCCUUCCGAGUUCCCUGGAACGGGACGCCAUAGAGGGUGAGAGCCCCGUCUGGUCGGACACCAAGCCUCUGUAAAGCUCCUUCGACGAGUCGAGUAGUUUGGGAAUGCUGCUCAAAAUGGGAGGUAUAUGUCUUCUAAAGCUAAAUACCGGCCAGAGACCGAUAGCGCACAAGUAGAGUGAUCGAAAGAUGAAAAGCACUUUGGAAAGAGAGUUAAACAGCACGUGAAAUUGUUAAAAGGGAAGCGUUUAUGACCAGACUUGGGCCGGUUAAUCAUCCAGCGUUCUCGCUGGUGCACUUUGCCGGUCCAGGCCAGCAUCAGUUCGCUGCGGGGGAUAAAGGCGUCGGGAAUGUGGCUCCUCGGAGUGUUAUAGCCCUUCGCGUAAUACCCUGCGGUGGACUGAGGUUCGCGCUCUGCAAGGAUGCUGGCGUAAUGGUCAUCAACGACCCGUCUUGAAACACGGACCAAGGAGUCGUCUUCGUAUGCGAGUGUUCGGGUGUAAAACCCCUACGCGUAAUGAAAGUGAACGCAGGUGAGAGCUUCGGCGCAUCAUCGACCGAUCCUGAUGUUCUCGGAUGGAUUUGAGUAAGAGCAUACGGGGCCGGACCCGAAAGAAGGUGAACUAUGCCUGUAUAGGGUGAAGCCAGAGGAAACUCUGGUGGAGGCUCGCAGCGGUUCUGACGUGCAAAUCGAUCGUCAAAUAUGGGCAUGGGCGCGAAAGACUAAU
rnacentral:rRNA from 1 species